UUAUAGUACUACUUCAAUGAUAUAAUUUGCAUAAGACUCAUUUAUAGUUAAUAGUAUUAUUUGCAAUACAAAUACAAAUCAUGACAAUUCAAUACAUUAACUGUUGGUACAUUAAUUUAUAAAAUAUACUUUUCAAGGUUUAUUCACAGAUAGGGAGAUGCUUUGAUGCAUCAGUGAGCUACUCUUCAGCUUGUAACCUUUUAUAGGCCAGUAUGUAAUUCUGCAUGGUGUGGUAAAGCUCGAAACAAGGGACUAUACGCAGUGACACAUCACACUGUCGACAUUUAAAUGCAGUUUCGUGACCUGGUCUUCGUUUUUUGGGAAGGCCCUGACUGGCAAGCAUCUGUGCAGCUGCAGGAUUGCACACAACACAUUGCAGAGACUUUGACUUUCCUUCAUUGGGGAUCUUGGAAGGGAAAUGUCUGACUGUUAGUCUUUCCAGAAACUGUGUCUUAGGACGUCCUGGUACAGGGGUGACCAAAGCGUCAAGGGGAUGAGACUCAAUAAGUUGUGAUACAAGUUUUUUACGGAAAGACAAAUGUGACAUUGGGUGGAUAGAGUUAUGCUUGUAUGCUAUGUAAGAAUUAAGAACAGUGAGACUCAAAACAUGAAAGAAAACCUUUUUCCACUAUUUCAUUGUUCUAAUGUUUGACCUGGAAUUUGCAACCAUCUGCAUCAAUCUCAAUAAUGAACUUAAUGCAUGUCUUUACUUCAUCUGUAUAUAUUAUUAUUGUUUACUUUUUUAGCCUUUUACUAUUAAAAAUGCCUGCCAAGUUUGGACAGACACUGCUAUCUGCCUUCGCCUUCAAUGCCGUCAGGCAGAUCUACUUAGAAUAACACUACUUUGCCUUAUUUUCCUGUUUGGAUAUCUUGCAGAGUUUAAGUAAAAUCAAGUAUUCAGCUGAAAACACAAAAAAUGCAAAUAAUAUUAUGCUUUCUUUCCUGGAAAAAUGUUGUUGUGAUAGACCCUGUGCGAAAAACACCAGGGAAUCUGUAUUUAAGUGACCUUAAUAUUAUGCGUAAACCUAAGUGUGCAUUUGUAGGCGGUGUCGAAAUGGGUCUUUAGCUCUGCCUGAACUGUCGUCCAAUUGGUUUACAAGGCCGGCUGAAGUGACAAGCCAUCAAAAACUGUACAGCAUGACUGAUUCGGAGACGGCCCUCAACACUCGCCCAGUCGUGUCGAGAGGAUCGGUGUCUUUGCAGGCGGUGUCGAAAUGGGUCUUUAGCUCUGCCUGAACUGUCGUCCAAUUUGUUUACAAGUCCAGCUGAAUUGACGGGCCAUCAAAAACUGUACAGCAUGACUGAUUCGGAGGCGGCCCUCAACACUCGCUCAGUCGUGUCGAGAGGAUCGGUGUCUUUGCAGAUUACACGGAAUUGAGCACCUGGGCCAGAUUGACACUUUCCGGAGCCUGUCUGAGACGGAACGCGAGCCGAGGCAUCAUAGGUCCAGGCGGUGUCGAAAUGGGUCUUUAGCUCUGCCUGAACUGUCGUCCAAUUGGUUUACAAGUCCGGUAGAAUUGACAGGCCAUCAAAAACUGUACAGCAUGACUGAUUCGGAGGCGGCCCUCAACACUCGCCCAGUGGUGUCGAGAGGAUCCGUGUCUUUGCAGAUUACAUGGAAUUGAGCACCUGGGCCAGACUGACACUUUCCGGAGCCUUCAGAGACGGAACUCGAGCCGAGGAAUCAUAGGUCCAGGCGGUGUCGAAAUGGGUCUUUAGCUCUGCCUGAACUGUCGUCCAAUUGGUUUACAAGUCUGGCUGAAUUGACAGGCCAUCAAAAACUGCACAGCAUGACUGAUUCGGAGGCGGCCCUCAGCACUCGCCCAGUCGUGUCGAGAGGAUCGGUGUCUUUGCAGAUUACACGGAAUUGAGCACCUGGGCCAAACUGACACUUUCCGGAGCCUGUCCGAGACGGAACUCGAGCCGAGGAAUCAUAGAUCCAGGCGGUGUUGAAAUGGGUCUUAAGCUCUGCCUGAACUGUCGUCCAAUUGGUUUUACAAGUCCGGCUGAAUUGACAGGCCAUCAAAAACUGUACAGCAUGACUGAUUCAGAGGCGCCCUCAGCACUCGCCCAGUCGUGUCGAGAGGAUCGGUGUCUUUGCAGAUUACACGGAAUUGAGCACCUGCGCCAGACUGACACUUUCCAGAGCCUGUCCGAGACGGAACUCGAGCCGAGGAAUCAUAGGUCAAGGUGUGACAAAAGACUUAAAGCUCAUGUCUGCCAAUGACUUUUUUUUAGUCAGGAAGUCAAGUGUGUUGUUUUUUCAUGCAAUCAAGCCCUUUGGUUGGGUCAAAUGUCAUUAGAAAUGCUGCUUCUACAUGGAUUUUACCUAAAAUGUGCCAAAAUGUUUAGGUCCAGGUGUGACAAAAGACUUAAAGCUCAUGUCUGCGGAUGACUUUUUUUUAGUCAGGAAGUCAAGUGUGUUGUUUUUUCAUGCAAGCAAGCCCUUUUGUUGGGUCAAAUGACAUAAGAAAUGCUGUUUCAACAUGGAUUUAACCUAAAAUGUGCCAAAUUAAAAAAAAAAGUUUGUUCGAAUCCGGUUCAAAUCCUGCUUUGAUGCACAAAUAUUGCCAUUGAUGAUUUUUUUUUUCACUUAUUAAGUCAUAUGUUAAAUCAGCUUUGCCUAUAAGAAUCGAAAGUGAUGCCAUGUAUGGAGUCUAAGUGCUGCAUUUAUGAGAUAACCAAGUUUGGCUUUUCUACCUUAAUUCUUGACGCGAAACGCUGUUACGCAUGGCGCUUUCAACAGCAACCAUUAUGAAUAAAUCUGUGUGCCAUUGUACCGGAACUUUGUGAUCUUUCUCAAAACAGAUUACACCUGUGGGAAAAGUGCCUUUAAUUCAAAUUUGAAGGGGUUGGGUUUUCUUAAAGGGGCCUUUUCACAGAUUUUGGCAUAUUUUGAAGUUUGUCAUUAAAUGCUUUAUAUUGAUAGAUGUAAACAUUGGAUCUUAGAAGCUCCAGUAAAAAAUUCAAGAAUAAAAUUCAAAAAAGGAAAAAAAAGUAGCCGGUACCAGGGCUCGAACCAGUGACCCCCGGAGUCCUGGAUUAAGUCUGAAGUAAAAACGCAUUAGCCCUCUCGGCUAUUCCGUCAGGUAUACACAGUUUAAGUAUCUUAUACCUUAUAAAGCAAUCUUCGUAGUUUCAUAAAUUUAAACGACAACAACAGAACUCUCCAAAUUAUUCAAUCGUUUCGCGUUGCAAGGCUUUAUAAUUUUUAGGUUUUCAAAUCGUCAAAAGAUACAUAUAAUGGCUAAAUUGGACUAUGGUAAAUGUUCAGUAAUACUGUUUCCUCACAAUUAUCAUAACUAAAACGAAAAUUUGCGAAUCUGAAAAAACUUUUUUCAAUUUUGUCAAUUUACCAAACCGUGAAAAGAUCCCUUUAAAGGUCACAUAACCCCAAACCGGAACUCCUGUUUUUAGGGUAACAUGCAGUCAGUUUGAUACUUAGCACACAUU